AUGAAUACUAAGAUAUUGAAGUCUAAUGUGUGCCCAAAUAUCAUAGACAAGUUAUAAGAUUUCUUAAGACAAUUCUAAAUCUACAUAUCUACAAUCACAUCAAUUAUAUUAGCAUAAAAAUUUGAUUGAAAGUCCAUUCUAAGGUUACAAUUAAUGAAUGAAGGUUGAAAGUCCAUUUUGAGGUUACAACUAAUAUCAACAUGAUAUAGCCAAACAUCACAAAUCUGCAUUUUUUGUGCGCUUAAUGUGGGUCUAGGCUAGAAUAAUAAAUCCUGAGAUGUAGGGGCCAAGUGACAUUUUCUUUUUUUUGUGCUUGGGUUACAAACCCAGGUGAUGUAUAUUUGGGCAUUAGUGAUUAGAUUGAUUAUGGUUUAUAGUCUAAUUUUUCAAUAAUGAAAGAUAUGGGAUUAUUAAAUUUUUUUGGUUUUCAAAAGGCAAGAAAGAAAUGGAAGACUUUACAUUUCUCCCCACUCCUAUUGCAUGUGCCUGCAACAAUUAGUAUUACAUUGAAACCUAUCUCUAUAGAUAGUUCUAUCCCCAUUUAUAAUGUGUGGACUUCGAAACUAACAACGUCCCCAAGGGGUCCGAGGAUAAAGCAGGAGUUAGACCUGAAUUUAUAAACAMAAGCCAAUAUCAUAUGCUUCUAGAUUGACUAAGUUGCAUCUAUCAAGGUUUAACUUGGUAAAACUUUCUUCAUGGAACCUCCUAUCAAAUGCACGCUAAUCCCUCCAAGUAGAGAUUUUUGCAACUAAUGCCCAAUUCCUCCCUAUAUCAUUAAUGAAAAAUUGUGAAAACAAACCUGAGCCAUUCAUCAAAUUUCUAUUAAGAAUACGAUCACUGGCGGUAGCCAAAUUUCUCUCAUUGUUAGUGAGUGCAAGACUUUUAUGAAGGAACCAUCCAAUUAAGCCUUAUAGGUAACCAAAUCUCUCUCCUUGUAAGUGAGUGCAAGAAUUUCACGAAGAAACCAUCCAAUUAAGCCUUCUAGGUAGCCAAAUCUCUCUCCUUUUUAAUUCGUGCACGACUUUCAUGAAGAAACCAUCCAAUUAAGCCUUGCAUAUAGAAAGCAAUGGAACAAAAGUUACCAAACCCAAAAGGAUUUAAUAUUAGCCACUUCUCGAAAGGGGCUAAUAUCAUGGUGGAUUUCAACCUUAAGCCUUUUAUCACACCAUCUGCAAUUCUCCUCCAAUCCCUUAAUGUUUUUUUAGUAACCACUAUGUACUUCCUCUCCCAAUCAACAAUGGCAACGUUGAUGGUUAAUUGGUUAUCCUAUCAUCACUUUUAAUAUGUCUUAAUGUCAAUAAUGCCCCCAUCAAAACAUCCUUUUCACCAUCUUAAAUCUAUGCACCACCAUCAUGUUAGGCUACCUAAACUAAGAGGACUAAGCAAUCCUCUCCCCGCCCCCUCCAAAGCAACUUAUUCACUAUUUCUUCCAAUAGUUUUAUCAAAACACCCAAAAAGUUGUGAAUGAUUUCAGAGAAAUAAGUGAAAGUAUAUGAUAUUCUUGAAGAACUCAAAAAAUAAAUUAUAUUAUUAGCCCUAGUUGUGAGAAAAACAGAGAUAUCGGAAUUCUUGAAGAACUCAAAGAAUAAGUUAUAUAAUUAGCCCUACUUGUGAGAAAAACAAAGAUGUCGACAUUAUUGAAGAACUCAAAAAAUAAAUUAUAUGAUUAGCCCUAACUGUGAGAAAAAUAGAGAUAUCGGCAUUCUUGAAGAACUCAGAAAAUAAAUAAUAUGACUAUCCCUAGCUGUAAAAGAGAGAUGUUACUGAAACAUAUGUCUAGAUUGAAGGAGAGAAGAAAAACAUUGUUACCUUCCUGAAGUGUUUGAGUCGAUUCAGAUGUAGCAAACUUAACCAAACUAAUGUGUAAAACUGUAAAGCUACCAUUAUCGGUAAUUCUAAUGAUAAAGCACUUGGAGUCAAACUUUAGAAGAGAGGACUUUUAUCUUGUGAAUCUCUUUUUCUCUUUUUGCUAAAUAUUUGCCAUCUUGUUUUAGUCUUAUAAGAAUCACUGUGUAACUUUCAAGUUAGAAAGGAGAAGGAAAGGAGACAAUUUAAUCUAAAGAAAACCCAGUUGACAUAAAACCUAAUUAAGAAAAGGGAAUAGAAUGAUCUCAUCGAUUGUGUAUAUAUAUUUUUACAUAGUAUUAUAUUUAUAGUAAUUUCAAAAGUAAACCCAUUUGAAACUAAAUAACGGAGAUCCAAAUAAAAGAAUAAGGCAGUGAACUAUCAUUAUAUUUCGUAGAGUUUUCAAUUUCCUUAGAGAUGGG